rnacentral:rRNA from 1 species
CAGCAGCCGCGGUAAUACGGAGGGUGCAAGCGUUGUUCGGAAUUACUGGGCGUAAAGCGCGCGUAGGCGGUUUGUUAAGCCAGAUGUGAAAGCCCAGGGCUUAACCCUGGACGUGCAUUUGAAACUGGCAGACUUGAGUAUUGGUGGGGGUGGUGGAAUUCCCGGUGUAGAGGUGAAAUUCGUAGAUAUCGGGAGGAAUACCGGUGGCGAAGGCGACCACCUGGCCAAAUACUGACGCUGAGGUGCGAAGGCGUGGGGAGCAAACAGGAUUAGAUACCCUGGUAGUCCACGCGGUAAACGAUGAGAACUAGGUGUUGGGGCGGUUGAUCGUCUCAUUGCCGCAGCUAACGCAUUAAGUUCUCCGCCUGGGGAGUACGGUCGCAAGAUUGAAACUCAAAUAAAUUGACGGG